AACUAACGCUGGCGGCGUGCCUAACACAUGCAAGUCGAACGAGAAAGUUGGCUUCGGCCGAUGAGUAAAGUGGCGCACGGGUGAGUAACGCGUGGAUAAUCUGCCCUUUAGUUUGGAAUAACGUACCGAAAGGUGCGCUAAUACCGGAUAAUACUGAAUGACUACUGUCGUUUAGUCAAAGAAGGCUUCUGUUUACAUGCUUUUGCUGAAGGAUGAGUCCGCGUACCAUUAGCUAGUUGGUAGGGUAAUGGCCUACCAAGGCGACGAUGGUUAGCUGGUCUGAGAGGAUGAUCAGCCACACUGGAACUGAGACACGGUCCAGACUCCUACGGGAGGCAGCAGUGAGGAAUAUUGCGCAAUGGGGGCAACCCUGACGCAGCAACGCCGCGUGAGUGAGGAAGGUUUUCGGACCGUAAAGCUCUGUCGAGCGGGAAGAAAUGCAUGGUGGCUAAUAUCCAUCAUGCUUGACGGUACCGCUAAAGGAAG
rnacentral:rRNA from 1 species